rnacentral:rRNA from 1 species
ACAUGCCUAUAACAUAAUGUUAAUGCACCGGAUCCCACUAGAACUCCGCAGUUAAGCACGCUUAGGAUAUAAUAGUACUGGGAUGGGUGACUGCAUGGGAAGUCCUAGUUUUUUACAUGCC